GGUAGCGUAGUCGAGCGGCGUAGGCGCUGGUUUAAGGCAACAGUCCCUUUGGAGGCGUGAGUUCGAAUCCCACCGCUGUCA